rnacentral:rRNA from 1 species
AGUGAACGCUGGCGGCGUGCUUAACACAUGCAAGUCGAACGAGAACGGAUUAUAGCUUGCUAUAAUUGUCAGCUAAGUGGCGCACGGGUGAGUAAUGUAUAGGUAAUAUGCCUCUUACUAAGGGAUAACAAAUGGAAACGUUUGCUAAUACCUUAUACUCCUUAUUAACAGAAGUUAAUAAGGGAAAGAUUUAUUGGUAAGAGAUUAGCCUGUAUUGUAUCAGUUAGUUGGUGGGGUAAUGGCUUACCAAGACUAUGACACAUAACUGGUUUGAGAGGAUGAUCAGGCACACUGGAACUGAGACACAGUCCAGACUCCUACGGGAGGCAGCAGUGGGGAAUAUUGCACAAUGGACGAAAGUCUGAUGCAGCAACGCCGCGUGGAGGAUGACACAUUUCGGUGCGUAAACUCCUUUUAUAUGAGAAGAUAAUGACGGUAUUAUAUGAAUAAGCACCGGCUAACUCCGUGCCAGCCGCCGCGGUAA